GACGAACGCUGGCGGCGUGCCUAAUACAUGCAAGUUGAGCGCUGAAGGUUGGUACUUGUACCGACUGGAUGAGCAGCGAACGGGUGAGUAACGCGUGGGGAAUCUGCCUUUGAGCGGGGGACAACAUUUGGAAACGAAUGCUAAUACCGCAUAAAAACUUUAAACACAAGUUUUAAGUUUGAAAGAUGCAAUUGCAUCGCUAAAAGAUGAUCCCGCGUUGUAUUAGCUAUUUGGUGAGGUAAAGGCUCACCAAGGCGAUGAUACAUAGCCGACCUGAGAGGGUGAUCGGCCACAUUGGGACUGAGACACGGCCCAAACUCCUACGGGAGGCAGCAGUAGGGAAUCUUCGGCAAUGGACGAAAGUCUGACCGAGCAACGCCGCGUGAGUGAAGAAGGUUUUCGGAUCGUAAAACUCUGUUGGUAGAGAAGAACGUUGGUGAGAGUGGAAAGCUCAUCAAGUGACGGUAACUACCCAGAAAGGGACGGCUAACUACGUG
rnacentral:rRNA from 1 species